UACGGAGGGUGCGAGCGUUGUCCGGAAUCACUGGGCGUAAAGGGCGCGUAGGCGGCCUGGUAAGUAGGGGGUGAAAUCCUGCGGCUUAACCGCAGGGCUGCCUUCUAAACUGUCAGGCUCGAGCACGGUAGAGGCAGAUGGAAUUCCCGGUGUAGCGGUGGAAUGCGUAGAGAUCGGGAAGAACAUCAGUGGCGAAGGCG
rnacentral:rRNA from 1 species